rnacentral:rRNA from 1 species
UACGGAGGGGACUAGCGUUGUUCGGAAUUACUGGGCGUAAAGCGCACGUAGGCGGAUUUGUAAGUCAGGGGUGAAAUCCUGGAGCUCAACUCCAGAACUGCCUUUGAUACUGAAAAUCUUGAGUCCGGGAGAGGUGAGUGGAACUGCGAGUGUAGAGGUGAAAUUCGUAGAUAUUCGCAAGAACACCAGUGGCGAAGGCGGCUCACUGGCCCGGUACUGACGCUGAGGCACGAAAGCGUGGGGAGCAAACAGG